AGUGGCGGACGGGUGAGUAACGCGUGGGUAACCUGCCCCAUACAGGGGGAUAACAGCCGGAAACGGCUGCUAAUACCGCAUGCACAUGCGGGGGCGCAUGCUCCUGAAUGGAAAGCUUUUGCGGUAUGGGAUGGGCCCGCGUCUGAUUGGGCAGUUGGCGGGGUAAAGCCCACCAAACCGACGAUCAGUAGCCGGCCUGAGAGGGUGGCCGGCCACAUUGGGACUGAGACACGGCCCAAACUCCUACGGAAGGCAGCAG
rnacentral:rRNA from 1 species